rnacentral:rRNA from 1 species
AGUGAACGCUGGCGGUAGGCCUAACACAUGCAAGUCGAACGGCAGCACAGUAAGAGCUUGCUCUUACGGGUGGCGAGUGGCGGACGGGUGAGGAAUACAUCGGAAUCUACUUUUUCGUGGGGGAUAACGUAGGGAAACUUACGCUAAUACCGCAUACGACCUACGGGUGAAAGCAGGGGAUCUUCGGACCUUGCGCGAUUGAAUGAGCCGAUGUCGGAUUAGCUAGUUGGCUGGGUAAAGGCCCACCAAGGCGACGAUCCGUAGCUGGUCUGAGAGGAUGAGCAGCCACACUGGAACUGAGACACGGUCCAGACUCCUACGGGAGGAAGCAGUGGGGAAUAUUGGGCAAUGGGCGAAAGCCUGAUGCAGCAAUACCGCGUGAGUGAAGAAGGACUUCGGAUUGUAAAGCCCUUUUGUUGGGAAAGAAAAGAAGCGGGUGAAAACGCCGCGGUUCUGACGGUACCUAAAGAAUAAGCCCCGGCUAACUUCGUG